GUGCUUGCAUCAGCAGCACAUAUCCUAAAAUGGGAACAAUACAAAGAAGAUUAGCAUGGCUCUUGCUCAAGGAUGACACUAAAAUUCGUAAAGUGUCCCAUAAAGUU
ensembl:snRNA U6 U6 spliceosomal RNA